rnacentral:snRNA from 1 species
CCCGCACGUAGUGCGGCUACUC